UACUCCUCCACACGGCAUAUUCAGCGAGAACGCCGCCAUUUAAAUGUCUUUCUUUUUUCUUUUUUUCUUUUGCACAAGUGUCAUCUCGGGCUUGGUGAGGUACAGUGAUCUCUAACCGCUAUUUCAAAUGCAGAGUGUCACGGUAGCUCUGCUGCGAAGACGAAGAGAGGAAAUUAUUCCAGCCUGGGGUCAUUGGUCAUACAUAGCCCAUUUCAAAAGCAUUGUAAAUAUGUCAAGUGGGAGAGUGGAAAGGUGUCAGGGAGAGAAGGAAAAAGUCGAAUCCCUAUUGUAGUGUCAACCUUUAGUUUGUUAAGAUUUCACAGUGACAUAUACAUUGUUAAUGCGUUUGAUCUUUCUCCCUCCAUUGUAACGCAUGACCAUUUUUUCUCUCUCAUUGAGCCUGGCAGAGGUAUUGUCAUCACUAUGGUGUGACGGUGCACAGUCACUCCACUGUAGUACAGGUCUCAGACUAUGGUGUGACGGUGCACAGUCACUCCACUGUAGUACAGGUCUCAGACUAUGGUGUGACGGUGCACAGUCACUCCACUGUAGUACAGGUCUCAGACUAUGGCGUGACGGUGCACAGUCACUCCACUGUAGUACAGGUCUCAGACUAUGGUGUGACGGUGUACAGUCACUCCACUGUAGUACAGGUCUCAGACUAUGGUGUGACGGUGUACAGUCACUCCACUGUAGUACAGGUCUCAGACUAUGGUGUGACGGUGCACAGUCACUCCACUGUAGUACAGGUCUCAGACUAUGGU